AGUGUGUUAAAGUUAUUCUGAUAUUGACUGUAGUUCUGAGCUUUGUCUCUAUCCCACCAAACCACUAACUUCUGGAAAUUACUUGUAGACCAAGAUGGGAGGACUCCGUGUGUGGCUCCCUCUCUUCAUGUGACAAAGAAACUUCCUAAAAUACUAAAAGCUAAAGGAGAUUGUUAUCUAAGCUUGAGAUGGAAGGUUGCCAGCGGAAACUUGGAGGAUCACAGCCAGUCGCCUGGGAUUGACCACAGGGAGUGGCAGAGGCAGAAAGCAAAAGACCAGUUGCAAUUAUCCAGGUAAAAGAUGGAGGCUGUUGCAAUAAUCCAGAAUCCUGAAUUGAGCCUGUGUUCCCAGUUCCUAGAAACCCUCAAGGUUAUUGGUUUCCUCCUCGCUUAAUAGACCAGUGGAAGAAAUCUACCUCCAGUUCUAUCUUCACAUGAGCAACUGUUUACAGUUUACAAUAUUACUCUGAAAAUCAGUUCUUUUCAAGUUUUAUCUAACACCCACCAGAAGAAACAGAAGAUUAUGAAAAUGGAAUUUGUCAAAGUUCCUCUCCCAACAAUAUGAUAUUUAAUUUUGCUAACAUUUUUUUUUGAACACUUACUAUAUUGCAGACAAUGGUCUAAGUAAAGCAUUUUAUGUGCAUCCUAUCAUGUCAUCAUCACACAGCCCUGUGAGGUAGAUACUAUUAUUAUUAACCACAUUUCACAUUCAAAAAAACUGAGGCUUAGAGAGACUAAGUAAAUUGUCCAAGGUCACACAGCCAUGAAGUGGCAGAGCUGUGGUUAAAACCUAUGUCUGUCUGAUGUUUAAGAUUUUGCUGUUAGCAUUACUUUGAAAUGACAAUAUGAGGGCAUUUUAUGUAUUUUUUUUGCCCCAAUAUGAUCUGCAGAAACUAUGUAUUUUAAGUACUACAUUUCUUUUAUUUACCAAAUUAUUGUCAGAUAAGAAACCGAAAUAAAAGUUUACAGGGUCUAGGAUUCCUCCAUAAUGAAUGAACUUUGGGGUAUUUCAGUGACAAAUUGGCUUUAACGCGAUCAAAUUCCAUCCUACAAUGAAAGUGUGUUAGUUUGUGGUUUCAAGUUUAAAAACAGCACUGUAUUGUCUUCCAGAAAUAUAUAAAUAGAAAUUCAAGAAGUAUUUCAAUGAAUACAGAUAAAAUUAGUUUUGUUAGAACAUCAAAUAUGUGGGUUUCAUUUCUUAGCUCAGUUUAGAAACUGUAAUUUCAAUUUUUUUUAGCAGCUGUGGUAAAUUUUGAGAUUUGAAAUUUCAUAUAAUAUAAAUCCUCAUUUAUUGAGCAUUUAAAUUAUAUGCCCAACAAUUUACUGUGUACAUUACUUCACUUGUUCUUAACUAUAACUCUACAAAAUAUUAUUGUCCUUGAUUUAUAGAUGAAGAUAUUGAGACUCAGUUAAGUAACUUGCUUGAAAUUCAAAAACGUUAACUGUGGAAGGCAGUAUUUGAACCCAGUGUUCAAAACCCCAUGCUCUUUUUAUUAUAUGACCUUAUUUCCUAUUCAGUCUUCAGAAGAUAUAUUGUCUUAUUAGAUUAUUCUCGUUCUCUAAAUAAGUGACCUUGGGCAACUAUCUUUUUCCCUGGUAUUUUCCCCUGCCUUUAAAACAAUGUGAUCAAACUGGAAGUUUUUCACGAUCUCUCUUAGCCCUAAAGCUCCUUGGUUCUGUAAUUCCACCAAUAGCCCAUUUCAAAAAUAAUUCUACAGUAAUCAGUGGGACUCCUGUUUUUCCCAUCUUUUUUUUUUUUGAAACAGAAAAUUGAAACUUUUAAAUUAGUUUAGUAAAUACAUCUACUAGUUUUUUUCUUUUAUAGUCAUGGUUAUAUUAUUUGGUCCUUCUUAGUUGCAACAUGUUUCCUUGCUGUCAAUUUAUAAUACCUCUCAUCAACAAUAGCCUGAAGAAAUAGAUUUGAAUUGCUUUCCCUAAUUUAUAGCUGGAAAACUAGGCUACGCUGGUAUCUUAAAUUGACUUUCCUGAGGUCACGGGCACUCAGUGCCAAGAGGAGUUGGUACCUACGCAUUUGAAAUUUCUGGAUUUCUGGUCUUACUCUGUACUUAGUCACUCUUUUCUUUCAUUUGGCCCUAUGGUGGGCAAACUACAGCCUACAGGCCAAUUCCAGCCUACCAUCUGUUUUUGUAUGGUCCAUGAACUAAGAAUGGUUAUCACAUUUUAAAAUGGUGGGAAAAAAAGACUAUUUUGUGACAUAAAAAUUAUAUGAAAUCCAAA
rnacentral:lncRNA from 10 species